GUCCUUUGUGAUAUGCACUUCAUCUUUCCUGUGCUUUCAGAACUCUGGGGGCCAGGAAUCAUAAUUAUAAUUGUGCACUUGGGAGUUAGAGAAUCUUACAGCUCUUAAAGUAUCUACCUCUUUCCAUCUUGACUCAAACUUGUGACAAUUUCUCUUCUACAAAGCUUCCUCCUGUUCCACCUGGAAGAUGCUUGACACAGUCUCCGGGAGCUCCUCAUAAAUGCUCGGCUGGAGAAAAAGGAAAGAACAAAAGGUUCAUCUCAUCAGUCCUCCACGGCCUUCAGUUCUACAGCGUAUUCCAUCCAGUGACAGAAUGGUCUUCUUUCCCCACAGCACACAGAAAUGGAAUGGGAGACCAGCAGGAGGGGCCGGGAAGACAGGAAGAUCACAAGAACUAAAAGUAUAUAUAAAAACGCCAUGAGGGGGUCCAUGGCUUCAUACGCUAAUUCUCAAAAUAACUCAUAGGUAAGGGGAAAGCAAGCCUGCUCCCCUGAAACUUUUUCUAGCAGCAGCUCUGAUGUAGUCUGUGACCUGAUCCUCUGCCAAUGCUCAAUCCAAUCGGCUAAUAAAUGGACUCUAAGAGACAGUUGUGAAGUGACGGUUCCCUACAACUCUCCGAGACAAUUCUGCCUGUGCCUGGACUGCUCACGAUGGGCACAUGGUCACGUGGUACAGCUACAGGAGCUACCGUGGAAUAAGAACAAUAGAAAAGAGGGUCUUCUAGCUCUCAGGUUUCAAGGGAACCUGGCAGAACGGAAGGAAAGGGAGAAGAAAAAUCACUACUGAUUUCAGAUGGGAGAGUGAUGAGUUUGGGUCAUCCUUUUGCACUUCCUCGCCUCUCUGAACUGAAUUUCUUGGCCAGAGUAAACUCGCAGGGAAGUAUUACAUGCAAGGUGCUAUUGGGAUGAGCACCAGUGUUUCUACCCAGCGCUCAGGGUAAGUCCAAAUAGAGAAACAACAGGGAGAUGUAUUCAUUAAGAAUGGAAAACAGAAAUGACCUAGGACCUGACCUAGGACCAUUUCCCAUGGAGAAUCUAAAAGCUGCAAGCUUCCGGGGAAGAAAUGGACAAGUGUGUAGCAUGCCAAGGCACUGGAGCAGCGUGUGAUUCUCAGAGCACUUACAAGGCCCGGCUGGCACAGCCUGAGAAUGACAAAUCACUUCUAUGUGCCCCACAGGUAGAUACAGAUUAGAAUGUUUUGGACAAAGAUAGAUGCCUCAGCAGAAGUGCUCAGUAUGGCCUAUGACACAGGGAAAAUGUACCCCAAUAUCUAGUCAACAUACCUACUUGGGAGUAUACUUAAUAUGAACACAGACUAUUUUAUAAAUUAACUGCACCUAAUAAUAAUAAUAACAAUAAUAAUAAUAAGCAAAAACAAAAAAUCAGUCUUCCAUCACAUCGGCAUAGUUUUCACAUGUCCUGUGUGAUAGUUUGUAUAUGCUUGGCCCAGAGAGUGGCACUAUUAGAAGGUGUGACCCUGUUAGAGUUUGUGUGUCACUGUGGGUGUGGCUUUAAGACCCUUAUCCUAGCUGCCUGGAAGCCAGUGUUCUGCCAGCAGUCUUCAGAUGAAGAUGUAGAACUCUCAGCUCCUCUUGUACCAUGCUUCUCUGGAUGUCGCCAUGUUCCUGACUUGAUGAUACUGGACUGAACCUCUGAACCUGUAAGCCAGCCCCAGUUAAAUGUUGUUCUUAUAAGAGUUGCUUUAGGUCACUGUGUCUGUUCAAAGCAGAAAAAAACCCUAAUUAAGGCAUCCUGGAGGACAUGACAGUAAAAUAUAAUAGUUUAUGAAUAUAUAAGGCCAGAAUCUAAUACCAUUUUAUAUAUAUAUAUAUAUAUAUAUAAACACAAAAGAUUUCCCCAUUUAACCACUGUAUUAUUAUCCAGGGAUGGCACUACUAUGCCAGUUGUAGCCUCUCUGUUUUAUUAUUAUCAUUGUUAUUAUUAUUUAUACAAGUACAUUGUAGCUGUCUUCAGACACACACUAGAAGAGUGCAUCAGAUCCCAUUACAGAUGGUCGUGAGCCACCAUGUGGCUGCUGGGAAUUGAAUGCAAGACCUUUCAGAAGAGCAGUCAGUGCUCUUAACCACUGAGCCAUCUCUCCAGGCCUGUAGCCUCUCUGUUAACAGCACUUUUAUCACCAAGCUCAUCUGUCUCUCUCUCUGCAAUUACACAAAUGUACACACUGAAUAAAGAAGCCCAUUCUGUAAAUGGAGCACCAGGCAUACUGGGAUUAGCAGCCAAAUGAAACAGAUGAAUGGAUUUUUGUUAAUAAGGAAGAGGUGUUAUUAUUGUUAGUUGAUGCGAUUUUCAACAAAAUGUUAAUAAUUUUUUCAACAACUACACACUGAAGCUAUUCACUUCAUUUUGAAUAGCCUGCUCUUCCUUCUAAAACUGCCCAUGAAGGUAUAUUUCUCCAUGUCUUCUUGUAUUGCCUUUUUUUUCCAAUCCUUCCUGUACUGUUAUUGUCUAGUAAUAAGUUAUUUUUCUUUCCAGAAACUGAUUGUGUCCUGAUGUGUUAAGAUUCUAACCUAUGAGACUUGUUUGUAUUUUAAGGCACUUUGUCACCCUGUCCCAUGUCAAUAUUGCUUUGAUGUUCCAUUUAAGCAGAGUAUCAUUUGUUCCAUUUCAAGAGUCCUUAACUGGUCUUAGCAUAUGUGGCUGUUUCUCCUGCUGCACACACAUUAGUCUGACGCUGGUAUCCUGUUGUAUGUUCUGCUGCUGACUGCAUUGCCUGCUUUGUUCUUUCAUUCUCUGGUCCUUCUGGCACACUACGGUUCCUUACAUUCAUGAUUCAGAAUGUAUCAAUAGAUAAAAGCUUGUGACAACUGCAUUAUGGAAUUUCAUUACAAAUCAUGAUCGUUUUCCCGGUAUGUUACAAAUAAGUCAUAUUAAUCUUGACAUCACUAUACAGACAAAAAAAUAUAACUAUGAAUUUUAUUUCAUGACAGUAAAUAGGAUAAAAUAUAUCAAAUAAGAAGAAAAGGCUAGACUAGCUACCUCGGAGAUGUCAUCUCACCAUGCAAAGUCCUCCAUUCCUUAAAUACCACAGGACAGUUCUGCCUUGGGACUCUGCAGUUGCCCUUGCUGCACCUGGAACAAUCCUCAUCUACUCAUGAACCACAGGCUGGCCUCCAUGUUUCCUUCAGACAGGCCCCGGAGACUCAGUCUGUGGCUUCCUGCUAGCAAGAAUGCAGAUGUGAUAGAUUACCUGUGGUAGCCAUACUGGACCUCAAGAUGACCGUGGGAACGAGGAUCACGGGAGGCGGGGCUCUGAGCUGACAGGAAUCUAGACCUUGGCCUGCCAGAUGCCAUAUCUCUCCUGCACUACCUUUAUAAGACAUUUUUUUUUUGAACGAGGAAGAAAUAAACUUUGAUGUAGUCUAAGCCACUGUU
ensembl:antisense 4921518K17Rik RIKEN cDNA 4921518K17 gene